UCUUUAUAAUAAAUUUAUUUUAAUAAAUUAUUUUAUUUAAAUUAAUAAUUUUAAUAUUAAAUUAUUUUAUUGGGGUGAUACAAAAAUUUAAUUAACUUUUUUACACAAAUUUCUUUAAUUAAAGAUUUAUAAAAAUAUGAUCUGUUAUUAAUAAUUCAAAGAAUAAGA
rnacentral:rRNA from 1 species